UUUAUACUGAUAAAGAAUGUAUUUUUCCAGAAGAUUUCCAGCAUGGCCACCUCCUGCUGGAAGCUGGGAUGCUGGAAUCAGGCCUCUUCCUGUCUGUCUUUACAGGACACUGGGCUGCACUCUGAGAAGUUCCUGUUGCUCCCCUGACCAUCAUGUGGCCAGAGAAAUUGCACAUUCAGGUUGA
rnacentral:lncRNA from 1 species